AGACUGAAGGCUUUUGUUGUAACCAGCAGAGCCUGAGCAAAGUGCUGAGGAUUUGCACCUGUGAAAUGGGGAGAACCUGGCACUGGGGAGGUAUUCCCUUUUCAGGUAGUGCCUGCUGCCCCAGAAACCCCUAGGGAGGGGUUUGGGAUGUCCUGCUUUCCAGCACUGACCAGCCUUGGCAAUCCUUCUCAGGUGACCCUUCUUACAUGUGUUACCUGGAUGCAUAAAUAGAGUUAGAAAAAAUGUUCUGCAUUUUAUACCAGAGAACAAAUACAGAGGAGAGAGAACAACUAAGUGCUCUGUGUGUCUGCCUGCUAUUUUAACAAGAGGUCCUCACGCUGAUAUGGGUGUUUGCCAAACUCAAAAUGAAUAUAAUAUCAAGAGUAUUCAGGAUAAGUCUGAAAUGAGAACAUGGGCUGUUGAAAUGCAUGGCAAGAUAAAUACUGGGAAAAAAGUGUGACAGGACUAUUCCUGGCCUGAAGAGAAGGUAAAAAUUCAAAGUAUUAAGUUAAAAAAUUACUGGGAAAGUGAUGUAGUAAUUCAUGGUCAGAGGAAAGCAGGAUUUGGCUGUAUUACAGAGAGAAGCAUCUUUAUCCUGUGUGCCAGAUGGAUCUUGGCUUCCUUGCUCAAACACUGAAUACAAGUGCACAGGGAGAAUUGGCUCACAUGGAAAGGGCAGUCCUGGCUGAGGUGUGUGGCUGGAGGGAGCUGCCUGAAAAACACCUGGAGAGCAAGAACUGGAGAAGGAUCCUCACAACAGAACCUCUUAGUGACCUCAUCUUGUCUAUUCAAAAGAUGGAGAAAAGGCAACAGAGUCACAGCACAACCAGCUUUGGAGUGACCUACAGCCACAACAGCUCCCCCAGAGCUCAAAACACUGCUGAACUCCUGUCUUGUCACCUGUCACAAGGCUUUACAAUACCAUGUUUUAUUGUAGCAAGGAAAUGCACUGAUAAAACAAAGACCUGAAUCCUCCACCUGGCACCUGAGCACUUAUUGCUGUCUACCUUCAGAUUCUGGGUUCUAGGUACUAUUUGUAAAAAUGGCAAAUAACUCCUGACAGUCUUGCAUUAAUAGGGGUUCUAUUUUAACCAGGAACUCUUAAUCUCAGAAAGCUGUAGUAAUAUGAUGAACAAGACUAAAAUCUUACAGUCCUUGGCAUCUAACAGCAGUUUGUGCCAGUUGAAUCAGAGUGAGGAACUAUGGUAGCUGGUCCUUCCUGUAAAAUGGACAUCUAAUAUUGCAGCAGCUUUUAAAUUACUUGUGAAACUUCUCUUAACACUGAAAAUUGUCAUUCUUCCUUUUGAAUAAUAUAGUGCUCUCU